UUGUGAUUGUGCAGAAAAGAACAUGUCAAAGAUAUUCACUGCUGCUGCAGCCUGAUUGAAACAUGUGGAACAGACACAAGCCUAAUCUCAAUCUUGAAGCCCAACCACCCAACUCUCAGCCUGAAGUAGACAUCCUGGCCAGUCUGCAAUCCAUAAGUGAGAAAAAUACAUGCUCGCUGCCAUAAAUUUUGAAAUAAUCAUCUCAACGAAAAGCUGAAGAGAGCCAGCAGUAAAAGGAGAAAGCAAUAGCUAAAAGAAGAAUAGAGAACAAAGCAAAAGUUUGGUGAUUUGUGAGAAAGGCAAUAGGGCUUAGAAGUCACUACAAUCAGCAACUCAUCAUAAGAAACAAGACCAACUUGAGUAAAAAUACAGCAAAAUCAGAAAGUGGCAUCUUUUCUAACAACCUGUAGAAGGUGGCAAGAAUCUAAGCUGAAAUCCUCAUUUAGGCCAUGUUACGGUUUGGAUCUGAGAUGCCUGUCUGCUGCCUGGCUGUUAUGAGGUGAGCAGCUUUCCUCCACCAGGUACCGCCUGCCAUGAUGCCCUGCCCCCAUAGGAAGCCUCUGAAACUGUGAGUCAAAAUAGAUGUUUUCUCCUUUUAAGUUGUUUUUCUCAUGUAUUUGGUCACAGUGACAGAAACCUCAUUAACACAGAAAAUUGGUAUUGAAAAGUGGGGUAUUGCUGACUAUGCCUGACCAUAAGCUUUGGAAGUGGUUUUCAAGAGGAGUUUGGAAACAUUUGGAGAAAAAGACUAAAGAAAGCUUGGAAUAUUUUAAAUGGAGCUUAGGGGAUGAUCCUGGUGGGAGAUCAGAAUGCUGAUAGGACAGUAAAGUCUGUGUUGAUGAAGUUUCAGGUGGAAACGAGGACUCUAUUCAAAAUUGUACCAGAGGCCAUUCGUUGCAUAAUGGCAAAGAAAUGGUCUACCUUUUGUCCAUACCCUGAGACUUGGUUUGUGUGAGGGUGAGUUUAAAGGUAAUAAAUAGAUCAAUAAAUCUGUCAGGAAAUUUCAAGGCAAGACAGGAUUCAGUUAGUGGCAUGGGUGUUAUUGGAUGCUUUUAGGCAGAUUAACAGUGAGAACUGGGAGUGAAAAGCAGAGUAGAAAGAUUUGGAAAAACUUUCAGUUUUUGCCCAGAACAGAUACACAUUUAAAGUUGUGACAAAGGAGGGUUGCUAAAGAGACUAGUAUCAUUAAAAAGAAGACAAGUACUUUGUCUGGGAAAAUAGGAAGAAUGCCUCGAGGAAGCAGAAAAACUCAUUGCAGGGUCAUGAACAUAAAAAUAUAAACUUAUUUGAAAAAUGUUGCUGUAAGAAGAAAGUCUGGGAUGUCCUACUUGCACAGGGCUGCCUAAUGAAUUAUUUUUUGGGA